UACGUAGGGUGCGAGCGUUAAUCGGAAUUACUGGGCGUAAAGGGCUUGUAGGUGGCCAACUAAGUCAGACGUGAAAUCCCUCGGCUUAACCGGGGAACUGCGUCUGAUACUGGAUGGCUUGAGUGUGGGAGAGGGAUGCGGAAUUCCUGGUGUAGCAGUGAAAUGCGUAGAUAUCAGGAGGAACACCGAUGGCGAAGGCAGGUCUCUGGGCUGACACUGACGCUCAUGCACGAAAGCGUGGGGAGCAAACAGG
rnacentral:rRNA from 1 species